rnacentral:lncRNA from 1 species
AAGUCGCCUACGUGCGCGCCCGGGAGCUGCACACUCUUGAAGUGACCGGCCUGGAGACGGUUGCCCAGAGCAAGGCCCAUGUAGCAUCCCUGGAGGGCCUCAUCCCUGAAGAUAAGGUUGUGCUUCUGGCAGGUUCUCCCUUACAGAAUGAAGCCACCCUGGGUCAGUGUGGGGUGGAAGCCCUGACAACCCUGGAAGUGGUUGGCCGCAGGCUAGGAGUUCACAAUGUCUAAAAGUCAGCUGAUUUUGUGUUAAAAUUCAGUGUCUGGCUUUGCUUCAAAAAUUGGGAAGAUCGGCCGGACGCGGUGGCUCACGCCUGUAAUCUCAGCACUUUGGGAGGCCGAGGUGGGUGGAUCACGAGGUCAGGAGAUCGAGACCAUCCUGGCUAACAUGGUGAAACCCUGUCUCUACUAAAAAUACAAAAAAAAAAAAAAAAAAAAAAAAAUUAGCCGGGCGUGGUGGCGGGCGCCUAUAGUCCCAGCUACUCCGGAGGCUGAGGCAGGAGAAUGGCGUGAACCCAGGAGGCAGAGCUUGCAAUGAGCCGAGAUCGCACCACUGAACUGCAGCCUGGGCAACAGAGAGAGACUCCGUCUCAAAAAAAAAAAAAAAAAAAUGGGGGAGAUCAGGUGACAUUGGGCCUGUGUUCCCACAUACCAGCAAUCUGCCCUAGCUGAGUGGUGGCUGUCCCUUUGGAAGGCUCUACAGUUUGCCACCAUCUCCACACCUCCCUCUUCCAGGGCCAGCCACCAUUUAUCAUCAGGCUUGCGCUGUUGUUUCUCUUAAAGAAAAGUGAAUUCUCUUUUUGUUCCUAUGUCUCUAUCAAAAGUGGGAAAAUGAAAGAUGG